AUUGCGCAAUGGCCGAAAGGCUGACGCAGCGACGCCGCGUGGAGGAUGAAGCUUUUCGGAGUGUAAACUCCUGUUGCUCGGGACGAACAAGCGAUUUCGAUCGCUCUGACGGUACCGGGUGAGGAAGCACCGGCUAACUCCGUUCCAGCAGCCGCGGUAAUACGGAGGGUGCGAGCGUUGUCCGGAAUCACUGGGCGUAAAGGGCGCGUAGGCGGUUUGCUAAGCGUGCGGUGAAAGCCUGGGGCUCAACCCCAGGUCUGCCGUGCGAACUGGUGAACUUGAGCACUGUAGAGGCAGGUGGAAUUCCGGGUGUAGCGGUGGAAUGCGUAGAGAUCCGGAAGAACACCGGUGGCGAAGGCGGCCUGCUGGGCAGUAGCUGACGCUGAGGCGCGACAGCGUGGGGAGCAAACAGG
rnacentral:rRNA from 1 species